rnacentral:rRNA from 1 species
AGUGAACGCUGGCGGUAGGCCUAACACAUGCAAGUCGAACGGCAGCACAGUAAGAGCUUGCUCUUACGGGUGGCGAGUGGCGGACGGGUGAGGAAUACAUCGGAAUCUACUUUUUCGUGGGGGAUAACGUAGGGAAACUUACGCUAAUACCGCAUACGACCUACGGGUGAAAGCAGGGGAUCUUCGGACCUUGCGCGAUUGAAUGAGCCGAUGUCGGAAUAGCUAGUUGGCGGGGUAAAGGCCCACCAAGGCGAUGAUCCGUAGCUGGUCUGAGAGGAUGAUCAGCCACACUGGAACUGAGACACGGUCCAGACUCCUACGGGAGGCAGCAGUGGGGAAUAUUGGACAAUGGGCGCAAGCCUGAUCCAGCCAUACCGCGUGGGUGAAGAAGGCCUUCGGGUUGUAAAGCCCUUUUGUUGGGAAAGAAAAGCAGCAGGUUAAUACCCCGCUGUUCUGACGGUACCCAAAGAAUAAGCACCGGCUAACUUCGUG